rnacentral:tRNA from 1 species
GGUGUUGUAGGGUAAUAGUAACCCGCCGGACUCCUACUGCAGAGCAGGAUACAGCCGGAAAUUGCAGGUGCAAGUCCUGCCAACAUCG